UUCGAGUUCAGGUCCAAUUUAUAACUCGAGAGGAGGAUCAGGGCGCGUUUCUGUAAUGCCCCUGGACAUGUUCUCAGCAUCUGAUUGGCUAUUUGAUUCAGCAGCUUUAUGUGGUCAGAUAAUGCUGCGCAGCUGCUAAUCCCGAACUCGUUUAUUUUUCAGUUUCGGUUUCUCGGUUUAGUGCCGAUCAGUCAGUUUCGAAUCAGGCUCUAAGAAAAUCCAGACUCAGACGCUUGAAGUUCAUUUUCACUGGACACCGGUGCCUAUCCUGGCUGUGACAAGGAACAGGAACCAACCCUGGAUGGAGCUGACAAUCCGUCACAUCACUCAAGGAGAACAUGCAAACUAUAAAACAUUUGAUGCUUGGAACAGGAAAUCAAAUCUAGGAUUCUGGAACUGUCAGGCUCUAAGAAAAUCCAGAAUCAGGCGCUUGAAGGUGAGCAGGCAACAAUAAUCAACAUUCAAGGGAAAACCCCAGACAUGCCGGAGUCACCUGAGUACAAGAUGGGGCAAUGAAACAGUAACUCUGAGGUGUGAUGCAGCAACCUUAAAAGUGCAAGUCAUUUCACUAGAAAUGAAACCAAACAAAUUUCAGCAAAUAGCUGAAUUCACAUGCAUAGUGCAGCAGAAACAUAAAAUAGAAAAAUAUUAGACUAUAUUAUGAAAAUGAAUGGAAGGACAGGAUUUUUUUCCCUUUAAUCUAUCAGACUAUGUUUUGAUCUUAGCUUUCUUCCAAGCACAGACUGGGUAGGUGAAGCUGUAAAAGCUAACAAUUGGAGAAAAAAUGCAAGGGAAAAACAAGGAAGAUUUUUUUCAUUUUGAAGUAUUUGAGAAUUGGUUAGUUUAAUGACAUUGGAAAAUAUUCAGUCAGUCAAUCCCUAGUAAAAACUAUGCUGAAAAACAUUUAAGAUGACUUUUAUAGUGAAGCAGUGUAUGUUAGUGACUUUUUCAGUUCCCCUGAUUUGACGGGCCUGGGUUCGCUUCCCGGGUCCUCCCUGCGUGGAGUUUGCAUGUUCUCCCCGUGUCUUCGUGGGUAUCCUCCGGGCGCUCCGGUUUCCUCCCACAGUCCAAAGACAUGCCGGUUAGGCGCAUUGGUGAUUCUAUAUUGUUCCUAGUGUGUGCUUGGUGUGUGUGUGUGCAGUCGGCUUGUUCCUGCCUUGCGCCCUGUGCUGGCUGGGAUUGGCUCCAUGAGACCCUCGUGACCCUGUAGUUAGGAUAUAGCGGGUUGGAGAAUGACUGAUUUGACGUGAGAAUAGAUCAAGCAGAGAAUCAAAGGUUCAGUUGGGAUCUCCUGCUGCCGCCUCCACUCCUCUGCAUGAUUAAGCCCAAGUGUGGGAGAGGCGACUUGACUCAGAACAAACAAUUGUCAAAUAGUGGCUGAGCUGAAAUUUAAAUCUCUUAAAUCCUGAAAGUAAUUAAUAAAAGCACCUCUGAAAGCCACAAUGGUUAUGAUGCAGUUCACUUUGCUCAACAUUACAAUGUUAUUAAACAAA